AGAGUUUGAUCCUGGCUCAGAACGAACGCUGGCGGCGUGCUUAACACAUGCAAGUCGAACGCGAAAGGGACUUCGGUCCCGAGUAGAGUGGCGCACGGGUGAGUAACGCGUAAGUAAUCUACCCCUGUAUCUGGAAUAACCCACCGAAAGGUGAGCUAAUACCGGAUACGUUUAUCUUGAUGCGAAUGAUGAUAAAGAAAGGUGGCCUCUUCAUGAAAGCUACCGUACAGGGACGAGCUUGCGUACCAUUAGCUGGUUGGUAGGGUAAUGGCCUACCAAGGCGACGAUGGUUAGCGGGUCUGAGAGGAUGAUCCGCCACACUGGAACUGAAACACGGACCAGACUCCUACGGGAGGCAGCAGAGGAAUAUUGCGCAAUGGGGGCGACCCUGACGCAGCGACGCCGCGUGGACGAUGAAGGCCCUUGGGUCGUAAAAUCCUGUCAGAUGGAAAGAAAUGUACAGGUGUUAAUAUCGCCUGUAUUUGACGGUACCAUCAAAGGAAGCACCGGCUAACUCCGUGCCAGCAGCCGCGGUAAUAC
rnacentral:rRNA from 1 species